GAUGAACGCUGGCGGCGUGCCUAAUACAUGCAAGUCGAGCGAACAGACGAGGAGCUUGCUCCUCUGACGUUAGCGGCGGACGGGUGAGUAACACGUGGAUAACCUACCUAUAAGACUGGGAUAACUUCGGGAAACCGGAGCUAAUACCGGAUAAUAUAUUGAACCGCAUGGUUCAAUAGUGAAAGACGGUUUUGCUGUCACUUAUAGAUGGAUCCGCGCCGCAUUAGCUAGUUGGUAAGGUAACGGCUUACCAAGGCGACGAUGCGUAGCCGACCUGAGAGGGUGAUCGGCCACACUGGAACUGAGACACGGUCCAGACUCCUACGGGAGGCAGCAGUAGGGAAUCCUCCGCAAUGGGCGAAAGCCUGACGGAGCAACGCCGCGUGAGUGAUGAAGGUCUUCGGAUCGUAAAACUCUGUUAUUAGGGAAGAACAAAUGUGUAAGUAACUAUGCACGCCUUGACGGUACCUAAUCAGAAAGCCACGGCUAACUACGUG
rnacentral:rRNA from 1 species